rnacentral:rRNA from 1 species
UACGAAGUGGGCUAGCGUUGCUCGAAAUCACUGGGCGUAAAGGGUGCGUAGGCGGGUUUUUAAGUCAGGGGUGAAAUCCUGGAGCUCAACUCCAGAACUGCCUUUGAUACUGAAGAUCUUGAGUCCGGGAGAGGUGAGUGGAACUGCGAGUGUAGAGGUGAAAUUCGUAGAUAUUCGCAAGAACACCAGUGGCGAAGGCGGCUCACUGGCCCGGUACUGACGCUGAGGCACGAAAGCGUGGGGAGCAAACAGG